UACAGAGGUCUCAAGCGUUGUUCGGAUUCAUUGGGCGUAAAGGGUGCGUAGGUGGCGGGGCAAGUCAGGUGUGAAAUCUCGGAGCUCAACUCCGAAACUGCACUUGAUACUGCCUUGCUGGAGUACUGGAGAGGAGAUUGGAAUUUACGGUGUAGCAGUGAAAUGCGUAGAUAUCGUAAGGAAGACCAGUGGCGAAGGCGGGUCUCUGGACAGUUCCUGACGCUGAGGCACGAAGGUCAGGGGAGCAAACGGG
rnacentral:rRNA from 1 species